UAUUGCACUCGUCCCGGCCUAA
rnacentral:miRNA from 1 species